UACGUAGGUGACAAGCGUUGUCCGGAUUUACUGGGCGUAAAGCGCGCGUAGGCGGCUUCGCAAGUCGGGGUGUGAAAUCCCCAAGCUCAACUUGGGAACUGCAUUCGAGACUGCGUUGCUAGAGUAUGGGAGAGGGAAGUGGAAUUUCAGGUGUAGCGGUGAAAUGCGUAGAUAUCUGAAGGAACAUCAGUGGCGAAAGCGACUUCCUGGACCAAUACUGACGCUCAUGGUGCGAAAGCGUGGGGAGCAAAC
rnacentral:rRNA from 1 species